rnacentral:lncRNA from 1 species
GCUUUGAAUUUCCCCUUAGCUAAGGGGGGUUUAGUUACUCAUAAUUGCAACAAAAUCAUAAUAUAACAAAGUAGAUAUUGAAAGCAAGAACGAAGUACACCUAAAACGCUCCAAAUUUUCAAGUUUGCAAUGCCAAGGACCUUCGUUUUCACCACCUUGUUGCAGCACAAGUAUCUAAGGAUGUGUAUGGAUUUAUGGAAAGGUUAUGAAUGUAUUUAGGUUGGAUGGAUGCCACGGCAAGGUUGAAGGGAAUGUAUGUAUUUGUGUUUGAUUUUUGGUUGGAUGAGUGCCACGGCAAGGGAAUGGAUUUGUAUGUGUUUAUGGGAUGUGGGAAUAUAUGGAUGAAUGUAAGGUGCUCACGACUAGGGAAUUCGAAUCCUAGUUAUGGUGAAGGGUGGAUGUAUUUAUAGGCUAGGGAGAGGAUGUAGUGGGUGAUGGUAAUGAGUGGAUAUAGUGGUAGGUGAAUGUGUUAGGUGGUUGAAAUGAGUGGAUGUAGUGGUAGGUUAAUGUGUUGAGUGGUUGUAAUGAGUGGAUGUGUUGGGUGAAAUGAGUGGAUGUAGUGGUAAAUGAACGGAUGUGUUGGGUGAAAUGAGUGGAUGUAGUGGUAGGUGAAUGUUUGGUAAUAAGUGGAUGUAAUGGGUGUAGUGGAUGGAUGUUUGGUAAUGAGUGGAUGUAAUGGGUGUAGUGGGUGAGUGUUGUGGUAAUGAGUGGAUGUAAUGGGUGUAGUGGAUGAGUGUUUGGUAAUCAGUGGAUGUAAGAUGGAUGUUUGGUAAUGAAUGGAUGUAAUGGGUGUAGUGGAUGGAUGUUUGUAGUUAUAGGUCAACAUACUUGCACACACACAUGCUGAUUUCUAGCCUUCAAAUCUUCAAAAAUGUCCAUCCUCAGGUCUUCAUGCUUGCACUAUCCAAAUAGCACUUUGUUGCUAACUUUUUUAUUUGAACCUACAAACACACAAAAAUAGCUUAAAGUACUAAAAUAACUAGAAUUAAACUAAGUAAAUGCCAAGAAACAAGCUAACUAAGUUGCAUAAAUAUGCUCCUAUCAACAAGCACUAGGCAACCUGCUCACUCCGCCACCAACAACCACGUCUCUGAAAGCUUCGUGAAAGUCUUGGAAUCAUGCUCUGCCUUCUUAAAUUUAAAAGAUUUCCUUGCAUCGUAGCAAAGAAAUCCAUCAGUGGGGGCACACACAUUAUGCAUAAAAAAUAGACACAUUAUAUGGUAUUAUAUGUGUGUGUGUAUGUCUCUGUGUGUAUAUAUAUAUAUAUAUAUAUAUAAGACACGACAACCAAGUUCCAUAUAUAUAUAUAUAUAUAUACAAUGUGUACACAGUGAUGGUGACGGGACGAUCAACUUCCACAUAUAUAUAUAUAUAUAUAUAUAUUGAAAGGACGCAAAUGGUGAUGGUGAUAGGACAAAUAUAUAUAUACAUAUAUGCAUGGCUCAAAAGAUGGAAAUGGUAUACAUGGCGUCCUCAAACUUGAAACAGACAGGACAGUUACUUUCCACAUAUAUAUAUAUAUGUAUGUAUGGCUCAAAAGAUGGAAAUCGUGCUGAGCUUAAAACAGAUAGGCUCACAAAGACCUCAAAAGGCAAUGGAGGCAAAGGAAGCCUUACUUCUGGCGAAGAAAAUCCACGACAAACAAGACGGGUUAGAUAAAAAGAUGUCGGAUUUGCUCAAAGUGUAGCAAGAGGCAAGUUUGACAGCGCAACAUGAAACGACUCUAGGGGAGCUUCCAGCGAGUAACACACAUAAUGAGUGUACAAGCAACGGUGCAAUCCCAUAUAUAUAUAAAGGUCCCCGGAGAAGCAAAUGAAAUGCGGUGACUAUUCAAAUGCAAGUCCAUGACUAACAGUGACUGUGCAAACGACCACCCGUGUCUGGAAAAGAAAAACCAAAAUAAGAGGUGAUGGGAUGUUGCACUGGGAAAAUACGAUUAUGUACAAACACAAAAAGAAAGUGCCAGCUAAUGUUAAGUAA